rnacentral:rRNA from 1 species
AUACGUAUGGUGCAAGCGUUAUCCGGAUUUACUGGGUGUAAAGGGAGCGUAGACGGCUGUGUAAGUCUGAAGUGAAAGCCCGGGGCUCAACCCCGGGACUGCUUUGGAAACUAUGCAGCUAGAGUGUCGGAGAGGUAAGUGGAAUUCCCAGUGUAGCGGUGAAAUGCGUAGAUAUUGGGAGGAACACCAGUGGCGAAGGCGGCUUACUGGACGAUGACUGACGUUGAGGCUCGAAAGCGUGGGGAGC